AUACAGAGGGUGCAAGCGUUAAUCGGAUUUACUGGGCGUAAAGCGCGCGUAGGCGGCUAAUUAAGUCAAAUGUGAAAUCCCCGAGCUUAACUUGGGAAUUGCAUUCGAUACUGGUUAGCUAGAGUGUGGGAGAGGAUGGUAGAAUUCCAGGUGUAGCGGUGAAAUGCGUAGAGAUCUGGAGGAAUACCGAUGGCGAAGGCAGCCAUCUGGCCUAACACUGACGCUGAGGUGCGAAAGCAUGGGGAGCAAACAGGAUUAGAAACCCGAGUAGUCC
rnacentral:rRNA from 1 species